ensembl:lncRNA
GCUUAGUACAAACAAGCUGAUAAGAGGCCUACAGAGAGAGAGACAGAAUGCAUUGUUUCCCCUGUAUGCAACUCCGCAUAUAUUUUUUCAUUGGCAACUACACAUCUUCUUUAAGACUAUUAGUUCAUUUCCUUUUAUAAUUAAAUUAAUCUUAUUUUCUGUAAUUACCGCUUAAAAGGCAGCCAGUUCCCCACUUUAAGGAUACAGCUGUAACUUUCGUUUUCUCUGCUGUCAUCAUUGCAGCAUGUGUUUUCAUAAACACACACUGAGGUUUUUCCCAUAAUCAAUAAUAUUUUAAUCAGUAUUGAACCCCAAAUCACCUUAUAAUACAAGAGACACAUCAGUCAAAACAUAUUUGGACAGAGGAAUGUCAAAUAUAGCAAAAAAAAGUUUCUCCCUGCAGCUACUGCCCCCUCCAACUACUACACAUGUAUGCAGCAAGUAUGCACAGCAGUAUGUUAUUAUGCAAACAUUAGAGAUACUUACUGACUUAAAGAGGCAUUGAUUUAAUGACUUCUGUAAGAGGAUUAAAGUGUAAAUUCUUUUCCACUUAGGGACAAUUUUUUAAUGGUAACAUACUGGGAUUAGAUUUCAUUAAGUAGUAGACAGGCUUCAAAGAUUACACUAUGACUUACCCUUUAAGGAACGUUUUUGAUUUCAUCAUACAUGCAUUCAGAAGAGCUGUUAAUAUGUAUGGCACUGUAAGCUGUGUUUUAUUUUGAUGCUACUGUGUGUUAUGUUAAACAUAAUCCAUUGUCCAGAUAUUUGAACUGUAAGCACUGAAGUGCAAGCAUUACCAUUUUGCUGUAUAUAUGUUUGCAUGGGUUUCAGCCCCAGCAAGAGGAUGGUUUUCGACUGGAUACAAACGCCAUGCAUAUUACAAACUGUGAAGAACACUUUGGAAAAUGCCCAUAUGAAGAUACUACUAAAGAGCAGUCAGCCAGGAACAGAAGAUGACUUAAGGCAGGAGAACUCGUGACCCACCAGGAAUGCUACCUUACUUCCAGCUGUGGAGCUGUGACCCCUCAGGAGCUGAACCAUUUAAGAAGUGCCCAGCUAUCACAGAAUCUGUCAUCUGAAUGCUGCACCCUGUCUUCAGAAGAGCUCUUUCAUUCACAAAGACACUAGCAGGGAGUCCAAGUGCCAUCUAUUUCUCUCUGUUAUCUCUUACAUGGCGGUUCCAUCUCUUCCAGUUAAUAAGGUUAAAACAGAGACUGACAGUAAAGUAACACUGAAUUAUUAAAAGUGAAACUUCAGUUAUUGUUAUUCCAGAGCUUCUGCUAAAUGUGCCAUCUUCUCCUCUAGACUUCAUUUCAGGGGAAAGACUCGACAUGCUUGGAGAAUAGCAUCACUGCACUCCCACUGCACAUCCCUGUCCAAACCUUCUCAUCCAACAAAAUGAAUACAAAUACUCAUGAAAGAGGCCAUAAUAAUUUCGAUAAAGAAAUAGAGAAUUAGCAGUAAAUGACAGUCAGCGAUGCACAGCACAGGGAGUGCUAAUAUAUUUUAUUAAAAAUAUUAUUAGCACGCUACUUUAGGGUUAAAAGGUGUCUCUCAGUAGAUUUCAAAUGCUCCUACCCCUCUCGGAUUUCCUUGAGCUCAAAACUUCCCAUAUCUCACUCAUUUCCCCUCUCAGUAGUUUUCCUGCCUGUUCGUACUUCCUGCAAGAAGGUCCUCAGGGCUCCCCUUCCAACAUGGCCAUUUCUGUCUGUGGCAGGUUUUCAGAAGAACAGUGUUUGUGGUCUGUUCAUGUAACAAUCCAUACAUCUAUGCAAAAAUAAGUCCCCCAUAACAGCAACACCACAUGUCUGGGAAAUGUGGAAUACCUAUCUGUCGGUACAUCCCAUCUCCUCACUUGCCCAGGCUGCCUUUAGGGUCUUCUUAACCCUGCCCUCUUUAGCAGGCCCUCAGGUAAAUGAGACACUUGAAGGGAUGGUGUUACAGAAGCAGUAAACAAAGUUUUUCAUUACUUCAACCAUAAAGAUAUAUGAAACUCUUAAAAACCAACGCAUGGAUUUGGAAUUAAUAACUAAGUUUAUGAUCAACUCUGAGUGGUCCGACUCUCUUCAAAGUAUCAAUAAACUCCUGCCAGUUUUAAAUUCUGUAUGUCUAAGUAAAACAUAUACUUUUCCUAUAGCUUUCAGCUGGGAGUGGGGAGUCUAUACCAUCAUAAGGGGCUUGUUUGCUCUUCUGAAGAGCCAAAAGAAAACUGGUUUGCUGGUUUUUAAACAACCCGAUGGUUCCUUCCCAAAUACACAGAACAGAAUUUUCUGCAGGAUGCCUCUGCUCAAUCCUAUAGAGCAAAAGGAAUUAAAAUGUAUGAGGCUAAAAGUGGAGAUUAACCAUAAUCUAAACAGAGCUCAAAUUAAAUGAUUCUCUUGUUUUUUAUUGUUAAUAAAGGCAGGGUGGAAUGCCAGAGCCAUGGCGGGUACUACUGGGAGAUCAUUAUAAAGAAUAUGCAAAGAGGUAUUCGAGGUAACAUACUUUAGGCCCAUGAAUGUGGAAGGAUCGAUAGUACUGGAUAUGCAGAUGUUUUAAGGGACAGAAAAUGAAAACAAUGGCACCUUAUUUUUGUUGUUAAAUACAAAAUUCUCAUUUCCAGAUCAUUUCUUCCUACUGGAAGGAAAACACAACACCAAUCCAGAUUUCUGACUUAAAAAAAAAAAGAAAGAAAGAAAAAAAGAUCUGAUAAAACCAUUUUUUUUAAUUUCACACUUAAACCUUCCUAUAAAGUAUGGGCAAAUACUGUCAGUUAAGUGUCCCUUCAUCAAAAAACAAACACACUGCUGAGACUGAUGUAACAGUUCUUACCAUCUAUUUGGUAUUCACAUGCAAAAAAAUAAAAAAUAAAAAGAAUCAGACAUCAAAUCCUCUGCUGUGACCCACAGCUCACAGCCAUGUUUUCCCCCUUCUGUCCAACACAAACCAUGUAAUACUCAUCACCAUUGUGAACUACUACGGCAGAUCUGCGAAACGCCAAAGUUAGGCUGACUGGAAAUUCUACUAGUACACAAAAUACCUUUACAAUAUAUUACACCUUCCUACUUUGAUUAAACUUAUUACUUCAUAUUUCAAGCAGAGGUAAAUAUUCCCCUAGUGGGAAAAUAUUGUCUAUUUGUAUAAGACUUAAUGACAUAAAGUAAAUUGCGCUGUUGGUUUGAGUUAGACAUGCAAUACACUUCAGUAAUGUGCUAUUUCCUUCUGUAUAUGAUGCAAUUCUAAGGAAAACAUGAUUAAAAAAAAUUGCUUGAGAUUUCCGUUUAUUGCUUUAAAGGUUAUUACUAACAUCAGCAUUCUACUAUUUUUCCCCUCAUCAAUUUCCAUUAUCAUUUUGAUUCAGAGUAAUUCUCUCCUUGUAGGUUUGCCCAACAGAUUUUAAGUGAAUAUAGUACUCUGAUUAAAAAGAAAGCAGAAUAAAAUAGAGGCCUGCUGAUUCAAAACAUUAUGAAAGAUAGUUCAGUUAACGUGAGCCUUGUUUCACAUUUUCAUUGAAAGACAUUUUCCUCUGAAACCUCUACAUGCAGUCCUCUCCUGUCGUUACCA